AGCUACGGCCAUGCCACCCUGAAUGUGCCCAAUCUCAUCUGAUCUUGGAAGCUAAGCAGGAUCGGCCCUGGUUAGUACUUGGAUGGGAGACCACCUAGGAAUACAGGGUGCUGUAGGCA
rnacentral:rRNA from 1 species